AAUCAACGCUGGCGGCGUGCCUAACACAUGCAAGUCGAACGCGAAAGCCCCGCAAGGGGCAAGUAGAGUGGCAAACGGAUGAGUAACGCGUGGGUGACCUGCCUUCGAGCGGGGGAUAACGUUUCGAAAGGAACGCUAAUACCGCAUAACAUCCCGCCUUUGAACAGGUGGAGAUCAAAGCUGGGGAUCGCAAGACCCGGCACUUGAAGAGGGGCCCGCGUCUGAUUAGCUAGUUGGGAGGUAACGGCUCACCAAGGCAACGAUCAGUAUCCGGCCUGAGAGGGCGGACGGACACACUGGGACUGAGACACGGCCCAGACUCCUACGGGAGGCAGCAGUGGGGAAUUGUUCGCAAUGGGCGCAAGCCUGACGACGCAACGCCGCGUGGAGGAUGAAGAUUUCGGAUCGUAAACUCCUGUCGAACGGGACGAAAGAUUGC
rnacentral:rRNA from 1 species